rnacentral:SRP_RNA from 1 species
CCGUGCUAGACGGGGAGGUAGCGGUGCCCUGUAACUCGCAAUCCGCUCCAGCGAGGUUGAAUUCCUGUUUGAGGUCUUGGGAUGCAGGAACCGGCAAGUUAAGCGCCGUGUUGACGGCAGGGUCCUCCGCGAGGAACGGCCAUGAACCCGGUCAGGUCCGGAAGGAAGCAGCCGUAAGUGGUGACGUUCUUGUGUUGGAGGAGUGCCCGGCCCGAGCGGUCUGGCUUGUGCGGCUGGAUUCCAACGAUCGGGGACAGGUGCACGG